UUUUUUUUUUUUUUUAACGUAAUAAUAUCUUUAUUGCAUAUUUGCUGUAACAAUUUACUAAGUUUACAGCUUGUAACUUAGUAUCCCUCAUGUUAGUUUACCUAAUAGUUUAGGGAAGCACUAUUUGGUAAGAUAUAACUAAUUCAUAAUAUUAGUAUCUAUAGUACAAUUGAUUUCACAAUUAUAUAUUAAAAUAAAUAUUGUGAAUACACAUACAGAUCUUUGUUAAAUAAUUUCCUUCCCUAUUUUUAUACAUUAACUUUUCCGGAAUCUUUUCCGUUAUCGAUUUUAUCAAAUGAUCCGUAUUCCAUUGAAAGAAAUUGGGCAUAGUUAGUGUUGUCUCAACAAGCAUGUGCGUUAUCGCAUUAUUGAUUGUGUCUAAAUAUUCUUAUAUAAACAGGAUUUAACUUAUUUUAUAAAAUUUGGUAAGUAUGCAAUUUUUGUUUAAGUUUCUACUGAUCUAUGGUAUGUCGUCGUGUAUAUGUAUUACACAAGUAAGUCAUUCAUUUUAGCGUGCACAAUUCACAAUUUGUCUACACUAGAAUAAAUUAUUAAAUAAUCGUGAUUACACAUGUUUAUCUUUUUUUCCCCCUAUAAUGUUUAUGAAUAAAACAACAAUAUGUACCAUGUCGUUACUUAUGCAUGGUUGAACAUUUUUACAAACAUGCCAACAUGCAUGAUUGAACUUGUGAAUAAACAUGACCAUAUAUGGCUUGUAAACAAUUAACAAUUGUGUUUACAAAUUACUAUGUUUUAACUUUUUAUAAAAUAAUGUUUCAAACAUUUAAAUUGAUUUAAUUCUGAUUUUUUUUUUAAAUCUUCAAUGAAUCUAUUUGUUUUUAGAAUUGUCUUACUAUUAUUUUUGUUAUUAAAAUUGUUCAUUUCAAUAAUAUCUGAAAUUUCUUUUUGGAAAAUUUUCAAAAUGUUUAUUUUUUUUUGUUUCUUUUCUGAGACAUAAUAUGCUUUAUAUAAUGAAAAGGAUAUUAUUGUUAGUAUGUAGUUAAUAUCAAAGUAUGCUGAGUCUUCAAUUUUGUACCCUAUUACUAGAUUUUCAAGACUUAUAAUGUUUUUGUCUAUACCUAGGGAGUUCAUUAAUUUCAUUGCUAUUUUUAGGAAGUCUGUAUUAAAUAAGCAGUUGACAAAAAAGUGUUCAUAGUUAUCUUUUUCUUUACAAUGUUUACAUAAGUUGUCUUCAGUAAUUUUCCACUUUUUUAAUAGUUCAUUGCAUGGCAGAAUAUAG
rnacentral:lncRNA from 1 species